GCUAGCGGCAGGCUUAACACAUGCAAGUCGAGGGGUAACAGGGAAGAGCUUGCUUUUCCGCUGACGACCGGCGCACGGGUGCGUAACGCGUAUAGAACCUACCUUUUACAGGGGAAUAGCCCAGAGAAAUUUGGAUUAAUGCCCCAUAGUAUUAUUGAAUGGCAUCAUUUAAUAAUUAAACAUUUAUGGGUAAAAGAUGGCUAUGCGUUCUAUUAGCUAGAUGGUAAGGUAACGGCUUACCAUGGCAACGAUAGAUAGGGGUCCUGAGAGGGAGAUCCCCCACACUGGUACUGAGACACGGACCAGACUCCUACGGGAGGCAGCAGUGAGGAAUAUUGGACAAUGGAGGCAACUCUGAUCCAGCCAUGCCGCGUGCAGGAAGACGGUCCUAUGGAUUGUAAACUGCUUUUAUAUAGGAAGAAACCUUUCCACGUGUGGAAAGCUGACGGUACUAUAAGAAUAAGCACCGGCUAACUCCGUGCCAGCAGCCGCGGUAAUACGGAGGGUGCAAGCGUUAUCCGGAAUCAUUGGGUUUAAAGGGUCCGUAGGCGGACUAAUAAGUCAGGGGUGAAAUCCAACAGCUUAACUGUUGAACUGCCUUUGAUACUGUUAGUCUUGAGUUAUAUGGAAGUAGAUAGAAUAUGUAGUGUAGCGGUGAAAUGCUUAGAGAUUACAUAGAAUACCGAUUGCGAAGGCAGUCUACUACGUAUAUACUGAC
rnacentral:rRNA from 1 species